CGCAAGAAAGUCCCCCUCAUCAUUUUCCCUGAUUCCCCACUUUUCUUCCCGUCGCCGGAGCUGCGUCUCCGUCCCCCUCCCUCCGCCGCGGUCCCAUGGAGGAGAUCAGGCCGGUGGGGAGCACAGGGAAGACACAACUGAGCUGGAUGUGGAGACAGGGAGGCGGCGGGGAUGGGGAUAUGGUCAGUGGCACAAAGAGUUGGGGAGGUGGUGCCCACGGAGAAGUCCCGAUCUUCCUAGAGCACCACGCCUCCAACGGCGGCAUUCUUCAGAUUGGCCCCGUCUGUGUUCAUCUCCGGCCGCCGCGUCCAGCGCCAACAAGCCUGGAUUUCGUGGUUUCUCUCUCUAGCGAGGUAUGCCGACUCGUCUUCUAGACUCGCUUGAGUGCGAUUUUCCUGCUUGUACGUGUGGUUACUUUCAUGUAUAUCCGUCGUGCUCCUUCCUAUGUUUAUGUAUACUACUCCGUAUAUGCCAAAGAGGCGACGGAUCCUUCUCCAAUUGCUAAAGGUGUGGUACCAAUCUGUUUGCUGGUUGCGUGGAGUCCGUCUUCUCCGUGUACCCUUCAGUGGAUGGGGAGCCUCUCCCCUGGCUUUCCUCUGCCGGGCCUCCUCCACGUUCCCCACCUGGAGCUCUGCGUCGCAGCCGUUCUGGACCAUGCCAUAUCCAUUUUUCAGAACACUUUCACUCAUCCCGGUACAUGGUAUUGCAAUGACUAUACACAAAGAAUGCUCGGGCUUGCAUGCAACUGAUGGUUUUGCAACUCAGCCUUAGUGCCAAAGAAAGUGUCAUUUCGAAGCAUCUGUUGUGUUUACACAGGAGAAGUAAUCUCAUGGAAUUAAUUGCCCCACUUUUUGUUGGAUUUGGUCGCAUUACUUGGCUAACUACACUCAAGAAGAAAUUCUAGCUGAUGUGUUCUUUUUGGUCACAACGAUGGGCAAUCUCUGGUAUUGAUUAUCCUUUUGUUUGGCUCUGGUUCUUACCUGUUUUUUCUUUGCAUUUGUGAACAAGGGGCACUCUUACUUGUGAGAAGAUGGGUUAUGAUCUCUGCGAUGUCAUCAUUUCAUUAACAAAUUUAUUGAUCUGGUCCGGCUGGCUGAUCUGCUUCGCGGGCAUUGGUCGGAUUGGUCUUGGUUGAUCUGGUCCAAUGGCAUCUGGAUUCUAUUUGAUCUUGUGCGUUUUUCUGGUCUGGAUUUGCUCUCUUAAAGUUUUUGAUUCAUCUUCUCUAGGUCCCUUAUUUCAUUUUCGCAUACUUAGUUUGCCGCUUGGUCCAUGCUGUGGUUUAUAGACUAUUUUUUUAUCUAAACUAGAGUUUGUUUCCAUUUACCUGUGUUAAUUAGAUUUCAUUGUGGUUGUAGUUUCUGUAGUUAAAAAAAUUUAUUGUUAUUCCUCUACAUGCUUUCGUGGUUUAGGGCCAGCGUCUUGGAAGGAAAUAAAUAAUAUUGUGAUAUUUCUCUAACCGAUUGAUGUUCCCGUUGCUAAAUAAAUUUAUGUUAUCCAUGUACAUGCUUAAUGCCUUAGGUCUAUCUUGCUAGGGAGGAAAUGAAAGAACAUUAUUUAUCUGUUCAUGAGUAUCAUUAUGAUGUCAAAGAAAUGACCACUUGCGCCCUGAAAGAAAGAACAUUGUUUAUCUUCCUAGGUAAAUGCACUUUUUGUUCAGCUGAAAACAAAUUGCUAACUGCAAAGAAAAGUAUCAUCACACUUCAAUAGAGGAGGAUAAAUGUAAUUUUUAACCAUCCAGGUCAGCUUCAGUGCAGUUGUCUGCUAUUGUGUGUUUUUAAAUUGAUUUACUCCCCCACUUUCCUUUGCCGACUUAAACUGUAUUUUUAAUUUCCAAUCACUGAAGCUGCAGCCUUUUAAGUUAUAGGUUUUAGGUCACUGCAGGAAAUCCAGUAAGCCCCUUUAAACCCCUCUGAAGUUCAUGUAAUCUAAUCUUGUAGUGAGGUCAUGGUGGUAUCCAUGAUGAGUGUGGCCUCAAUUCACUACAGGUUUUGAAGGAUCACAUAGACAAUAUUUGUAAUGUGCUUGCUGGCUAUGAAGUUGUUUGGGAGGCCUAUAUACUUUGUCCACUAGGAAAUUGGCAAUUCAUUAAGUGCUCUGUGCUUUUUGUUCUUAUAUUGAGCUGUAGGUUCAUGAUUGUUGCUGAGGGUGGCCACACUUCAGCCGUUGGCUCUCCUGGCGUGCCUAUCAUCACGUCUCAGUACAUGCAGUUCAUGAAAGGUAAUACUGAAGCCUGCAAAUAUUUUGUAGUUUUUUUUCGAUUUCCUUCUUGCACUUAAUGUCUGUAUGUACGUUCAUGUAACAACUCUUUCAUUGGAUUACAUGCAAACUCGCAAAAUUCGAUUAUCUGUCAAAUUCUACGAAGAAACUACUGAGGAGGUGCACCCUCUGUGCCGGAUUACAGGAACCCUCCAUGCUGAUGCAAAUAUGCAAUACACCACCUUUCCUUGAUACUUCAGGCCUAGCGCUGCUGUCGUUUGUUUGCUCUGUCGUCUGUGUGUGAGCUUUUGUUGGUGUACAUCACUAGCUUAAUGUGUGCUAAUUAGUUCAGGCAUCGUUUCAACCUUGUAUGUAAAGCUACAUGUAUAAGCCAAUUGUGUUUCAAUCAAGCAAAAUAAAAUGUGCACCUGUUUUCUUGUAA